rnacentral:rRNA from 1 species
UACGAAGGGGGCUAGCGUUGCUCGGAAUUACUGGGCGUAAAGGGCGCGUAGGCGGACAGUUAAGUCAGUGGUGAAAGCCCAGGGCUCAACCCUGGAAUUGCCUUUGAUACUGAUUGUCUUGAGUAUGGGAGAGGUAUGCGGAACUCCGAGUGUAGAGGUGAAAUUCGUAGAUAUUCGGAAGAACACCAGUGGCGAAGGCGGCAUACUGGCCCAUUACUGACGCUGAGGCUCGAAAGCGUGGGGAGCAAACAGG